rnacentral:tRNA from 2 species
UUAGUUGAAGCCAAAUAGAGGCAUAUCACUGUUAAUGAUAACAUUGAAAUAUUAUUUCCAACUAAA